rnacentral:rRNA from 1 species
GACGAACGCUGGCGGCGUGCUUAACACAUGCAAGUCGAACGGAAAGGCCCUGCUUUUGUGGGGUGCUCGAGUGGCGAACGGGUGAGUAACACGUGAGUAACCUGCCCUUGACUUUGGGAUAACUUCAGGAAACUGGGGCUGAUACCGGAUAGGAGCUCCUGCUGCAUGGUGGGGGUUGGAAAGUUUCGGCGGUUGGGGAUGGACUCGCGGCUUAUCAGCUUGUUGGUGGGGUAGUGGCUUACCAAGGCUUUGACGGGUAGCCGGCCUGAGAGGGUGACCGGCCACAUUGGGACUGAGAUACGGCCCAGACUCCUACGGGAGGCAGCAGUGGGGAAUAUUGCACAAUGGGCGGAAGCCUGAUGCAGCAACGCCGCGUGCGGGAUGACGGCCUUCGGGUUGUAAACCGCCUUCGCCUGUGACGAAGCGUGAGUGACGGUAAUGGGUAAAGAAGCACCGGCUAACUACGUG